CCUACGGGGGGCUGCAGUGGGGAAUAUUGGACAAUGGGGGGAACCCUGAUCCAGCCAUGCCGCGUGUGUGAAGAAAGCCCUCGGGUUGUAAAGCACUUUCAGUGAGGAAGAACGCCUGGUGGUUAAUACCCAUCAGGAAAGACAUCACUCACAGAAGAAGCACCGGCUAACUCCGUGCCAGCAGCCGCGGUAAUACGGAGGGUGCGAGCGUUAAUCGGAAUUACUGGGCGUAAAGCGCGCGUAGGUGGCUUGAUAAGCCGGUUGUGAAAGCCCCGGGCUCAACCUGGGAACGGCAUCCGGAACUGUCAAGCUAGAGUGCAGGAGAGGAAGGUAGAAUUCCCGGUGUAGCGGUGAAAUGCGUAGAGAUCGGGAGGAAUACCAGUGGCGAAGGCGGCCUUCUGGAAUGACACUGACACUGAGGUGCGAAAGCGUGGGUAGCAAACAGGAUUAGAUACCCCAGUAGUC
rnacentral:rRNA from 1 species